rnacentral:rRNA from 1 species
GGAUUAGAUACCCUGGUAGUCCACGCCGUAAACGAUGUCUACUAGCCGUUGGAUCCCUUGAGGAUUUAGUGGCGCAGCUAACGCACUAAGUAGACCGCCUGGGGAGUACGGUCGCAAGAUUAAAACUCAAAUGAAUUGACGGGGGCCCGCACAAGCGGUGGAGCAUGUGGUUUAAUUCGAAGCAACGCGAAGAACCUUACCAAGACUUGACAUCCUGCGAACUUUCUAGAGAUAGAUUGGUGCCUUCGGGAACGCAGUGACAGGUGCUGCAUGGCUGUCGUCAGCUCGUGUUG